rnacentral:rRNA from 1 species
AAUGAACGUUGGCGGCAUGGAUUAGGCAUGCAAGUCGAGCGAGAAGUGUAGCAAUACACGGAAAGCGGCGGAAGGGAGAGUAAUACGUGGGAAUCUGCCCUUAGACCUGGGAUAGCAGCGGGAAACUGCUGGUAAUACCAGAUAAUGUCUAUGGACCAAAGGUGUGAUUCCGUCUAGGGAUGAGCCCACGUCCUAUUAGCUAGUUGGUAGGGUAAUGGCCUACAAAGGCGAUGAUGGGUAGCGGGUGUGAGAGCAUGACCCGCCUCACUGGGACUGAGACACUGCCCAGACACCUACGGGUGGCUGCAGUCGGGAAUCUUCGGCAAUGGGCGCAAGCCUGGCCGAGCGAUGCCGCGUGCGGGAUGAAGGCCUUCGGGUUGUAAACCGCUGUCGAGGGGGAGCAACUUCCAUAGAGUUGUCUUUAUGGAUUGAGUGAUCCCUGGAGGAAGGACGGGCUAAGUUCGUGCCAGCAGCCGCAGUAACAC